rnacentral:misc_RNA from 1 species
GAUGAAGAACGCAGCGAAAUGCGAUAAGUAGUGUGAAUUGCAGAAUUCAGUGAAUCAUCGAAUCUUUGAACGCACAUUGCGCCUCCUGGCAUUCCGGGAGGCAUGCCUGUUCGAGCGUCAUCAAACCCCAUCGUGCAAAUGAAUUAUUUUUUUUGCGCGGAAGUGACGAUUGAGCGAGAAUAACAAAUCCUCUCGCACCUCGUCGAAAUGAUUGCGGGCGGAAUUUGGGAUCGGGUUCCUCGGCGUAGUGUAUCAAUGCAUAUUUAUGCAACUUGCCGCGGAGUUGAGCCUGACACACGCGUUCUCGCCGUACAAACACCUCAUUACUUUACAAGUUUUUGACCUCGGAUCAGGUAGGGAUACCCGCUGAACUUAAGCAUAUCAAUAAGCGGAGGA